GACGAACGCUGGCGGCGUGCUUGACACAUGCAAGUCGAACGGUAAGGCCCUUCGGGGUACACGAGUGGCGAACGGGUGAGUAACAACGUGGGUGAUCUGCCCUGCACUUCGGGAUAAGCCUGGGAAACUGGGUCUAAUACCGGAUAGGACUCCUGGCUUCAUGGUUGGGGGUGUAAAGCUUUUGCGGUGUGGGAUGGGCCCGCGGCCUAUCAGCUUGUUGGUGGGGUAAUGGCCUACCAAGGCGACGACGGGUAGCCGGCCUGAGAGGGUGACCGGCCACACUGGGACUGAGAUACGGCCCAGACUCCUACGGGAGGCAGCAGUGGGGAAUAUUGCACAAUGGGCGCAAGCCUGAUGCAGCGACGCCGCGUGAGGGAUGACGGCCUCGGGUUGUAACCGU
rnacentral:rRNA from 1 species